AUAGCUCGGACGCCCGAGGACCCCGUAAUCCAGGACUCCCUCAGUAGCCCCCGAACCAGUCUUCAAUGAUGACGUGUCUGGCACACAAAUUGUCUUCGACAUUGCAACGCGGGUUCCUCCACCGAAUACUUCAAAGCAUCUGAACCGAAGGGCUAUAUUCGGCCCUUACAUCUUCGGUCUUGGUAAGGUGAAUUCUUCGAACAGCUCGGUUUUACAUUAAAUCUCAUACCUUCGGUUUCUGUGCUUCCGUCGCCUCAGCUUACACAUGGCAAACGAAUACGAAGGGUCCAACCAUUUUUACAGAUAACCCCCCCGAAAGGUCAUUUUGUGUAGAUUUAAUAGUCAUGUACCAGUAGCCCCGAGACUUGAAAACAGUUGAAGCAACCGAUUUUAAGGAUCGAUGUAUAAUCAGGUACUUACGGAGAAGAACAACAUGCUAUCUCGGGAGCUGGAACAGUGUCGGACCCAGCUGACUGCUGUUACCGCCAAACUGGAGAAGUCCAAGGAGGCACCGACUGGAUAGUCGGAUCAGCUAGAAGAGAAACUAAAAGCCGCGCAGGCGGAUAAAGAACAUGCCGAAAGGCAAGAGGCUGCUGGUCAACGUGUACUGACACGGACCAGGGACGAGAAGAACAAGCUGCAGGAUGCCAACAUCCAGCUCGGCGAAGAGCUGAAAGACGUGCGAGCCCAACUGGCGGACGCCUUGAAGGAGAACAGAAAGCUGAGAGGCGGCAUAUUCAGUGUGUUGACUGGGCGGCCCGAAGAAGAGGUGUCCGGAUUUCAAGGCGACCUGCUACAAGAGCUGUCGAAGGUGCAUGAGCGAGCGUGGAAGGCAAUGAGAAACAUCGCUAAGCUUUAUGUCCAACCGAUUCUCCUCCAGGAAGUAUGGAGGAAUGCGUGAAUUUAUUCAAAGAAGCUCGGCGCUGUUUUGGGCUAUGGAAGAUAUCGGCAUGCCGAGAAGGCACUCGGGAAGCCUGGGCCAUGGUAAAACACGGUACACCGGACUUGAUCCAAAUAAUAUGGCGCGGGUCAGACCUCGAGGAUCCGAUGGACAGGAAAUUCCGGUCAACCUGGUGUACGACCAAGUGAAGGUGGCCACCAAGUUUUCGCAACAGGAUUGUAAACUAGACAACCUGUUAGAGGGUCUAGAGGAAGAAGAAGUUUUUGAGUCCAAGUAGAAAUGUACUUUUAUCGACAAACUUGUCUCCAGCCGAAUUUGUAAAAUGAUUGUCAUGGCAGACUUUCUGCUUCGACCUCCGAACACCCUAGGUUUGGAGUGUUUCCGAAUACUGUACCGUAGGUAAACACCAAAGUAUGUUCGGAAACCAGGCAGUCCGGUCAUAGUUUCUUGAACAGACAAGUUGUAUUCGGGGAGUUAUGUUAUAUUACAUUUGAUUGUAAGAAACAUCUUCCAGAGAGAACAGUUCCGUUAAGGGUUCCUCUCCCUGGGCCAGUAUGCAGUUUUUUGUGCAUACCGAAGCUGUGAUGCUAAAAAUCACAGUACGCGUUAUAGUUUGGGGGUUUUGUAUUGCAACGAGGGCAGUUCGUCUUUUGCUCACCGACCAAUCAUUCCCUUAAGAAU